rnacentral:rRNA from 1 species
UACGUAGGCAGCGAGCGUUGUUCGGAGUUACUGGGCGUAAAGAGCGCGCAGGCGGUCGUUCAAGUCGCGUGUGAAAGCCCCCGGCUCAACUGGGGAGGGUCACGCGAUACUGAUCGACUCGAAGGCAGGAGAGGGUAGUGGAAUUCCUGGUGUAGCGGUGAAAUGCGUAGAGAUCAGGAAGAACAUCGGUGGCGAAGGCGCUCUGCUGGACCAUAACUGACACUCAGGGACGAAAGCUAGGGGAGCGAAUGGG